UGGCUCAGUGGUUAAGAGCAUUGGCUGUUCUUCCAGAAGACCUGGGUUCAAUUCCCAG
rnacentral:tRNA from 1 species